rnacentral:pre_miRNA from 1 species
UGUUCAGUAUAAGUAUAUCCCAUGUAAUAUUUGGGAUAUAUUUAUACUAAUC